rnacentral:ncRNA from 5 species
ACCACAGGGUAGAACCACGGACG